AUUGAACGCUGGCGGCAGGCUUAACACAUGCAAGUCGAGCGAGCGGCGGACGGGUGAGUAAUGUCUGGGAAACUGCCUGAUGUAGGGGGAUAACUACUGGAAACGGUAGCUAAUACCGCAUACCAUCGGAUGUGCCCAUAUGGGAUUAGCUAGUAGGUGAGGUAAUGGCUCACCUAGGCGACGAUCCCUAGCUGGUCUGAGAGGAUGAUCAGCCACACUGGGACUGAGACACGGCCCAGACUCCUACGGGAGGCAGCAGUGGGGAAUAUUGCACAAUGGGCGCAAGCCUGAUGCAGCCAUGCCGCGUGUAUGAAGAAGGCCCUAGGGUUGUAAAGUACUUUCAGUCGGGAGGCGUUACCGACAGAAGAAGCACCGGCUAACUCCGUGCCAGCAGCCGCGGUAAUAC
rnacentral:rRNA from 1 species